CCGACCGUUCUUAGGGCAUGUUUGGUUCAUCUAUUUUAAACUAUAAAAUUGAAAUGGAAUUUAUUGAUUCCGAUAAUUGCUGUUUGUUUUAUAGGAAUCGAAUUACGAUUUCCAUUCCACUCCGGAAUGGGAAUGGCCAAAUUCAUUUAUAAUCUAAUCCAACUUUGAAUUCCGAAUUGGCUCAUUCCAAAAUAUACUAUUCAAAAUACUUUUUCAUCAACACCUACCUCCUCUCCCUUCAUCAGUUUUCUCUCUCUUAAUUAAAAUCCUCUUUCAAAAAUUUUAAAUUUUCAUUCCAAUUUCCAUUCCAAUAAUGAACGAAACAUUUUUGGAUGAUUCGUCAUUUCAUUUUCCAUUCCAAAGCAAUUCAAUUCCAUUUCCCACUCCUAUUCCAAUCAUGAACCAAACAUGCCAUUAGAGUAAGUGGCAAAAGAUUUGAUGGUUGGUAUCUGAGAUCCCAAAUUCGAAACCUAGUUGAUUCACAUUUCCAGCUAAGUUUAUUUCUAAAUGAAAUAAACUAAGCGGGUAGCAUGCUACCUAUCUCUUAAAAAAAUAUAUAUAUAUUAAAAAAAUGUGCUGAUACAAAGAGCGUAUUUAUAAUACUUAAGGACUCAGUCAUAGCACUCGCGGGUUUCGACCUGGCUCAACCCAUCUAGAUAUGGAAUUUAUUGUUGGGCCUUUUGCCGUUAGACCUCUUAUGGACCGCAGCCCCACUUAACUUAUUAGCCUCACUAAACUCAAUUUAUUAGUCUUUUGGGCUUAUUAUCACGCGGCAGAAAGUUAGACCUAUUUUAGCCCAAUAAUAAAUAGUCAAUAUUUUUUUGCCACAAAUAUUUCACAUAGAAACAAUAUUAUUCAGUUAUACAUUUUUAUCUUAAAUAAAAGUAUAAGAUGCUUCGCAAUUUUUUUUUUUUUAUUUUUUAUUUUUUAUUUUUUAUUUUUNUUAACUUAUUAGCCUCACUAAACUCAAUUUAUUAGUCUUUUGGGCUUAUUAUCACGCUGCAGAAAGUUAGACUUAUUUUAGCCCAAUAAUAAAUAG
rnacentral:lncRNA from 1 species